ensembl:lncRNA novel transcript, antisense to CNPY1
UGGUGGGCACAGGACCCCAGCUUGGGGAAAGGGAGGUUGAGACAGCCCAGCGGUGACCUGGCUGAUGUGAGAGCAGGGCUGUGUUCAGCAGAAAAGGCAGCUGGAUGCACAGCACAUUGCAAAGGGCACGGAGAAGGCUCCGCUCAAAAACAAACAAGUGGCAAAACACUCCUGCAUCCCCAAUUCCCUAAUGCCAAAUCCAACAUUUGUGGGGCUCCUGCCUUUGCCUGGUCAGUAUGCAAGCACUUGUGGGAUGGACCCAGCAUUGGUGCCAGGGCUUCAAUCAUCAUGGAGUAUUAAUGCCAGCUGUUCCUAUGUGCCCUGCCUCCAGGAAGGUGAGCUGUGCCGGACCAACAGCAGAAGCUUCAGGGGAGAGCCUUCUCAGUUUGAACACUUGGGAGAGGAGGAAGGGAGCAUUUCAACUGCAGAUGAAUCAUGAUCCAGAGAUGGGAGAAGCCAAGAGCUUACAGGUGCACACACUCAGGCACAAUGGCAGCCGAACACACACAAGGCAUAAGGAUACACUCAAGAAAUGUACAGAAUCCACAGGAGUAAGACAGAAAAGCUUUACCAAAGGACAUGAAGGAAGCCGGGAAUGAACAGAGCACAUAUCAUGAGACAGGUCCAACCAACUGCCUCCCCAAAACCCCUUCUCCCUUCCUUGCCUACACACGAGGCCUGAUUUAAUCCUAGAAGGCUUCAAAUAGGGAGGUGACACUCAGGGCCCAUCCUACCUUCCACGGGGCUGCAGAGGCUGGAAAGCAAAGCCCUACACUUCCAAGACUCAUUUGCAGCUGGAGGGUUCUAUGGGAUCAGGGUCGUGUCAUUGGAUGCAUUCAUCUGUGAUUUGGAAGGCGGUGGACGGAGAGCCAGACUUCUCACCGAUUCUGCUGUUCUCUGGCUUCUCUCCAGUGACCAGUGACCUGCUAUAUGGUCACCACACUCCACUUCUUCCUCCUCCUGGACACACAGCUCGACUGUUUCCAGCCCUUCUUCCAACUAGGUGAGGACAUGUGCUGGAGUCCCAGCCGUGGAACGUAGGCAGAAGCAAGGCCCCUCCCUGUUAGCCCUGCCUGUAAACAUUUCCCACAGAAUCCUCCAUGCUCUCUCUCCCCAUCCACCUGCUGGAUGAACAGGACUCGGGCUUGGAGGAGGAGGAGCCACAAGACAGAAGGGCCUGGGUCCCUGAAUGACCAAGUGGAGCAGAGCCCCGUGCCAACCCACACUAGACUACGACAUGAGCAAGAAGUCAACUCUCAACGCUCGUGGUGAUCCACACUGACACCAGGCAG